CCUCUGCAGCCUGGGAAGCUGUGCUCAAAGGCCGGCGGCGGGAGUCUGGUUUGACACCCACAAAAGGGCUCUGGAGGAUUCACCAAAUGCCCUCUGAUGGUUUUCUCCCUCCUCCAGAGAUGGUUCCUAAAGAAAACCAAAUCGCCUGUCCUGUGAGGGGGAGCCAGGAAGGUGAAAGAAGGGGCCCUCCAGCGGUCCCUGGUCAGGCUCACUGAUACAUCGGUUCCAACAAGAGCGUGGGCAGCAACCCCAGGGUGUGGGGGAGAGCCCCCAAUACCCAAAACUGUGAGUGCGUGUGGGCUGGAAGGUCACUCGUUUGCCUAAGUCACCCCUGCAGGAGUUUCUGAAGACAAGUCAUUCAGCCAAAAGGACGCUGCUCCCUCACCCUCCCUCCUGCGAAUACAUGUCCCACUGCAAGGCGCCCAGCUGCGUCAGAAGGGAUGAGACACACACUGCUCUUCUAGCAACUUCCAUCUCCUGCUUCCCCUGCCCCCACCCCUCGGCCCAACGCCUCCCCUGCUCUCCCUUCCUCCAGCAGGAAAGGUAACAGCACCGCUCACCGCAGCCAGUGAACCACACGGCAUCCUCAAAGCAAACUUGAGAGAACAGGAGCUUUUCCGGGUCCCUGGCGCAGAAGGAAACCUGCCCCCUUGCUGCCUCCCUCUGGCCCCCACGUCUCCAGCAGACACUGAGCCGCCUAGAAAAGGCCAUUGCUGAAGGGUGCCCCGUAGCACAGGCCUGAGAAUCUGCCAGGCUGGCACCCUCACCCACUAGCAGCUGCCCUUCUCCCCGAAGGGAAAGAAACUCGUGGGCGGGUUUUUAAGGCUCGAAAUAAAGUUUAAAUAUUACGUGGAAAUUACUAAACAAAUCAAAUCACUGUUAAGUGGAUGUCACGGGCUUCCUCUAGACAAUACGUUUAAUGAAGAUUAUUGUCCUCCUGGUUAUAGUUUGAGAUUUGCAUUUUAUUAUCAGAGAACCACUUAUGCAUUACUCCAGGAUUUUCAUUAGGUAAAUAAAUUUUUAUGUGGAUUUCAUUAUA